rnacentral:rRNA from 1 species
UACAGGGGGGCAAGGCGUUGUUCGGAAUUACUGGGCGUAAAGGGUCAGUAGGCGGCCAACUAAGUCCGACGUGAAAUCCCAAAGCUUAACUUUGGAACUGCGUCGGAUACUGGGAUGGCUUGAAUUCGGGAGAGGGAUGCAGAAUUCCAGGUGUAGCGGUGAAAUGCGUAGAUAUUAGGAAGAACACCAGUGGCGAAGGCGGCUCACUGGCCCGGUACUGACGCUGAGGCGCGAAAGCGUGGGGAGCAA